GGAGAUUUGGCUCAGUGGUAGAGCGCUUGCCUAGCAAGCGCAAGGCCCUGGGUUCAGUCCCCAGCUCUG
rnacentral:tRNA from 1 species